rnacentral:rRNA from 1 species
AUACGGAGGAUCCAAGCGUUAUCCGGAUUUAUUGGGUUUAAAGGGUGCGCAGGCGGCCAUUUAAGUCAGCGGUUAAAUCUUGGGGCUCAACCCCAUUCUGCCGUUGAUACUGGGUGGCUUGAUUGCGGUCGAGGUUGGCGGAAUUCGUUGUGUAGCGGUGAAAUGCAUAGAUAUGACGAAGAACACCGAUUGCGUAGGCAGCUGACCAGACCGCAAAUGACGCUCAUGCACGAAAGUGCGGGGAUCGAACAGGAUUAGAUACCCUGGUAGUCCGCACAGUAAACGAUGAAUACUUGUUUUCGGCGAUAUAAUGUCGGAGGCAAAGCGAAAGCGAUAAGUAUUCCACCUGGGGAGUACGCCGGCAACGGUGAAACUUAAAGGAAUUGACGGGG